GACCGCUGCACUGCAGCCAAGGCCACACGGACAGCCGGGUCGAAUGCCGA
rnacentral:sRNA from 1 species